CAUAACUUUCUCCGUGCAGUAACAUUCACAUCCUUAAAACAAAAAUCCCACAGCAGAGCCCAGAAUGGGGGCCAGACUUCGGGCUCCAGGUCAAGACUGGAGAGCAGCGGGGGAAGGGAUUCAGCGCCCUGCACCCGCCCAGAUGCGGGAACAGAGAGCCAGGCGGCCCGGCCAGGACCCAGGGCUGUGGGCAGUGGGGCUGCCUCAGCUCUGCACGCUGUGCUCAGCCCCCCUUCACCCCAAGAGCCAGCGAGCUGGGGAGCUGCAGCGUGAUUGAUGGGCCCCAGCUUGAAUGGAAAGUCCAGAUUCCAGGGAGACAGCUUCAGAGGGCUGCUGCGGGAGGCAGCGGGUGCCACACCAGUCCCAGGAGCCUGGCCCUCGCUUUCCCAGUCUGCGGGGUUCCUGAACUUCCCAGACUUCCCUGUCCUGGAUCAGUUAAUCAGGGAUCCUGCGAUUUGCACACGUGCUGACGUUUGUUGGUGGCUGAGUCCUUUUCCACCAGCAGCAUGGAGUCUGAGGCGUCAGGUGGGACGACUUCCUUUCUGCGGGCCCAGGAAGGUGUUCUGUGGGCAUUCUUCCUGAGAAGGAAAAGAACCAAGCUCGCCAUUUAUCCUUGCGUUUGGAGCCUGGCAUCGUCAGGAACUGCACUGACCUUGCAAAACACUCCACCUGCCGUUUCCAAGAAAUAUUCUGUUCUCUGAGAUUGCUGGAGCCCAAACCAUCAUCAAUGAUGCAAACCUGAAGUCAGAGCUGAGAAGGGCCCCUGAUACACACACCAGUAGUGGUCUGUAAGACUCUGAUGUUCUCACCGGCUUGAUCAAAACCCACUGCUUAUUACUGGCUCUUUUAUUUGUCUAUGUUUGUAUAAAUACUGUUUGUAAACUGUACUAAGAUUGUUCUUAUACCCGAACUUUGUAUUUUUGAAAAGAUACAAGGCUACAGACUAUUAUUUUCCUAAAAACAAAAACAGCAAUGUGAUUCUUACAUAUGUGGAACAUACAUAACUCAGAUCCCCUACAUUUGAGACUUACAGAAAGGAAGUAUAGGGAUUGGGGCCUCACUUGUUGACCUGGUGGGAGGGGGGUGGGCUAGGAUAGGGCCACCCCCAAUGUCUCCAUCCAGGUGAGAGCACAAGACACCGGGGGGGGGGUGGCAAGUUGCUUUAGGGCCCCCCAGGGAAGCCAGCCUCUGAGCCAGAACUCAAAUCCCCUAUGUUUCAUGGAACAACCUGGAUGUUCCUCCCAUAAGUGCACGUGGAGAGGACUGGCCCAGCACCCACUGCACUGACUGACCACCCGGCACGAAACAGUGGUCACAAGGCUUGGUUUCCAGGUAGCUCUUUUAUCUUGGGCAAGUCAUUUUACUCCUCUGGUCCUCAGUUUCCAUGCAAAUCUGUGCAUAAAGGUCUCUCCUGGAUCUAAAGGGUCAGGAUUCUGUAAAAAACAUCAGCCAUGGAGCUGGCAAAGAGAUUGAUGGGGACUUGUCAGGGGCAUCAUUGUCGCUGUCCUCACUAGUUGAGGGUGGGCAGAGGCUGGACGACCCUGUAGACCAGUGACCCGAGGUUUCUCCUGUCCCCCUGACCUCAUUGGUCUGCCUCCUUCUUGGGCCCAAAGUUGUCAGACUCUUCUCUCCUUGGGAGACAGUCAUAGUGGGUUCUAGCUCUAUGUUCUUUGAUGUUUCCUGUCAGAGUGACUUGAAAUCCCAGAUCUUCAAGUAGCCCCUUCACGCAUAGAUAGCUUUUCUUUUCUUGGAAAUGCUGAUCCUCCAUUGACACCCCACCCCUGCAGUGGAGUAGAGCUGCCUGGGCCACUUCCAUGACAGCAGGUCUACACGAAGUCACAGGGAUUUGAAGCUGAAGGGACUUUCUCGAGCGUUGACUCCAACUCUUUUAUUUCCUAGAUGAGAAUAAAAGGCCCCAAGAGGGAAGUGACUCCGCAACUCAAAGCCUCCCUGUUAGUGAAGGAAUUGACGCCAUGUUUUCAAAUUUAGACCCCGAGUAUAGUAAUAAAACUGACCCCAUGGAACUGCUGUGAAGGCAUUUGCACAAGAUAAUGCCUACGAAGGGCUCAAGUGUAGUUCUUGGCAUGGAGAACCAUUGGACACAGCUGUUCCCUCCCUUCCUAGAACUCAAAUCCCCUGCUCCUCACCAUGCUCACGUUCUCAUAGAAGUCCUGUAAGUUAGGACGGGCAGAUUUUAUUAUUCCUUUACUCCCCAGCACACCAAGGCAUGCAGAAGCAAACCGAGCUGCCCACGUUUGAUUACUGCCUUAGGGGUGCCAUCUGACUUGAGUCAUGUUCUGUACUCAAAGAAUGUUUGGGGUUGCUGCCCACUAGAACCCAUCCCUCCUGACUCUUAAUCCAGUGCUCUUUCCAUUAUACCGAGUGGAUGGACGCGUGGGUGGGGACAAGCUACUUUGAAAUGCUAGGAAUACCAGCAUGGUGACAGAUGUAUAAGAACACAUGGGGCCACAAUCCCUGUAUAUCUUAAGUCUGCCAGUGUGAUUUUAUUAUCAAGCAUUUAUCAAGAGCUCCUAUGUGCCAGGAGCUCUGCUUACUGCUGAGAUGAAUAUAAAAAUGAAGAAGAUACAGACCCUGCCCUCAAGGAGCACUUAAUUUGAUAAGAGAGACAGACUGAGACAUACAUAAUUCAAAUGUGAGGCAGAUGGUAAUCACUGACUACUUUAGACUUAAGGAAAGGAAGUAUAGGGGUUGGGGCCUCACUUGUUGACCUGGUGGGAAGGGGGUGGGCUAGGAUAGGGCCACCCCCAAAUGUCUCCAUCCAGGUGAGAGCACAAGACACCUUGGGGGGGUGGGGCAGAGGAAAAGUGCUUUAGGGCCUCCCAGGGAAGCCAGCCUCUGAGCUCUUUGGCCCUGAUGCCCAGUGACCCACGCUGGGCCACUGUCUGGUUCCAAGACUUGUUUCUUUUGCAGUUUUGCAAAAUGGGAGAACAUCCCCUUUCUUGCUCUGAGCCCUGUGGGGACUGGAGUGUUCACUUGUCUAGACGUCUGUUUUUGAAAAGGACUGCCUUCAAGCCGCAGAGGGCUCAGAAGCCGCACCCCACACGGAGACCAAGAAAACGCCAUCCUUUUUCUCUCUUGUCCCUGUUUCCAAGACCGGAGGAGGAGGGUGAGAGGCUGGGCGGGGACAGUGGGGGCGGGGAGUGAUGGCGAGGGGACUUGUAGGUCAGCGCUUGACAAGGGGAGCGGGGUCACUCCGGGAAAAUACGGCCUUGCUCUCCCCUGGCAGAUUCCCAGAGAAGCUCUAACUGUUCCCCACCUGUCCCGAGCUCCCCCGCCCCGCAGCGCUGCUGUCCCCUGCUUGCACGGAGCAGGGAGGCGAUGAUGAAUUUCCCCCGAACGGCAUUACAGACAGUCAUAAAUAAUGCUUUGCUCUUUGGUGACGGCACUUUCCAUUAGAGCUGCCUGUGCUGGGCCGUUGCUACCCCCAGUCUUCUGCCGGGGACUUGCAGUAAAAUUUAUCAGCGUGCUUUCUGCACCUAAUAAAUCAUCCCCUCCGGGAGCCAUCUGGCAGAUAAGGCCGCGAGAACCCACAUGCUCUGCAGAGGCGGAGUCGGAGUGAGAGCCGCCCUCGCUGGGGCCCCCGGGCCCUGUUGAGGGGGGACUUUCUCCCCAUCAGUCCGGGCCUGUCACACUCCCUCUGGCUUUUCUCAUCAGACUCAGGAUGGGGGCCCUGGCUUUGGCGGCUGUUCCCGACUCACAGAACGGGUUCGUCCCACCCUGGGGACAGGCCUGAAAACCAUAUCCUUUUCCUGUUCUCUCCCCACCUCUCCCCGCAUCAGGUGUACGGAAGGUCCUGGGGUCUGACAGCGGGCAAGAGCAGGGGUGUCCCAGGGCAAGACAUAUGCUGUGAUGGGCAUGACUGUUGCUUAACUGAAUCCUCCCCGGCGUCCUCCAGCCACUUGGGUAUUGGCCAACAUGGAAAUUAUCUCGUAGUGAUAAGAAACUUCCUGCCUGGAUGAAAGACAUCUAGGAGCACCGCCUUGAAAUUCAGGGUGAAGCCUCACACGGCCAUCCCCACUUUCUCCGAGCAGCAACUACCAUGCUUUUAGAGUUUUCUUUCCAGUGUGGAUUACUUUCCAUUAAUAUACAUUAGGGGACAUACUCCAGUGCACUGGACAUAGAGAAAGCAGCGCACAGAUUAAUGACCGUGGCCCUUUCCCUAACACACUUACAGUUUGGUUGGCGACACUGUUUUAAAGCCAGUCUCAGGCACAGCUGGGGCAGUGUCCACGUAGGGAGUCGCAGCACCCGCAUGACGCGAUCGUGGUGGCGAGGAAGGAGAGAGUGCCCAGCUCUCCAAUUUUGCAGUCCUUGUGCCCGGCGUGGUGCCUGGGUCACCGCAAGCCCGUGGUCCCUGGGUGUCCAACAUGCUGAAUGGGAUGUGGCAGUGGGCACCGUACCUGACACAGCCAACAAGACAAAGUAGAAUAUGAGAAUGAGAUGAUAAAUAGGAGAAUGGAAAUAGCUUUAUCAUCCCCGGCUUCCCGCAGAACGUGAACCCUGUUCCUUAGGGUUCCCUAGACCAUCUCGGAGCCAAAUCCUGUCCUAAGCAUGAUAGAACCUGUGUUCAUGGCUCAGCUCUGCCGCUGGCUGCCUCGGCUUGAUCAAGGGGCUCCCCGGGCUUUGGUGUUCUCCUUUGUAAAGUAAUACGAAAAGCCGGGGUCAUUUUGGGGGCACAAUUUUUAAUAUUGUUCCUGGUAGAAGAUUUUCUAAUUUUGCCUUUGCUGAUGCCUGCUUUUUUUUUUUUUUUGAAAGACGGAAGGUUGAAUGGGUAAACGUAGUGAGAACUCCUGUCUUUUCCCGCCCUCUUUUCCCACUUUCUGGCUGAGAUAGUCUCAGUGUGGGGACCCCAGGUGGCUAGAGCCUGAGUUCCCUGAAUUCUUCCUGGAGCCUCGUUCUGCAGGAAGACACCUAUCACGCCCUCCUCUGAUCGAUGUGGACGUAUCCCGGGCAAACAUUACAUGGAGUGUCCCAAAGAUGCUUAGCUUAGCUAUGCAUUUAAUUUGGUGGUAAUUGAAAUUUGCCAACAAAGAUUUGCAUGUAAUCUGUGAUUUCAUUUUUCAAUUAAAAUUGCUUUCUUCCUGUG